rnacentral:rRNA from 1 species
AGGUCAAGCUACAAAGGGCGCAUGGUGAAUGCCUUGGCAUCAGGAGCCGAUGAAGGACGUGAUAAGCUGCGAUAAGCUUCGGGUAGGCGCACAUAGCCUGAGAUCCGAAGAUCUCCGAAUGAGGAAACUCACAUGGGAAACCCCAUGUAUCAUUAAGUGAAUACAUAGCUUAAUGAAGGUAACCCAGGGAACUGAAACAUCUAAGUACCUGGAGGAAGAGAAAGAAAAAUCGAUUUUCUUAGUAGCGGCGAGCGAAAGGGAAAUAGCCCAAACCGGAAACUUGUUUCCGGGGUUGAGGACAUAACAUAAAGAGAAGUAAUGGCUAAUUGAAGAGAACUGGAAAGUUCCACCGUAGAAGGUAAUAGUCCUGUAAAUGAAAGCUAGUAUAAUCGAGUUAUGAUCCAGAGUACCACGAGACACGUGAAACCUUGUGGGAAGCAGGGAGGACCACCUCCCAAGGCUAAAUACUACCUGAUGACCGAUAGUGAAGCAGUACCGUGAGGGAAAGGUGAAAAGAACCCCGGGAGGGGAGUGAAAUAGAACCUGAAACCGUGUGCCUACAACCGCUCAGAGCCCCUUAUGAGGGUGAUGAGGUGCUUUUUGUAGAACGAGCCAACGAGUUACGGUAUGUAGCAAGGUUAAGUACUUAAGGUACGGAGCCGAAGGG